CCUACGGGAGGCAGCAGUGAGGAAUAUUGGUCAAUGGACGCAAGUCUGAACCAGCCAUGCCGCGUGCAGGAAGACGGCUCUAUGAGUUGUAAACUGCUUUUGUACGGGGGUAAACGCAGAUACGCGUAUCUGUCUGAAAGUAUCGUACGAAUAAGGAUCGGCUAACUCCGUGCCAGCAGCCGCGGGAAUACGGAGGAUUCAAGCGUUAUCCGGAUUUAUUGGGGUUAAAGGGUGCGUAGGCGGUCGGAUAAGUUAGAGGUUAAAUCCCGAGGCUCAACUUCGGAAUUGCCUCUGAUACUGGUCGGCUUGAGAGUAGUUGCGGUAGGCGGAAUGUAUGGUGUAGCGGUGAAAUGCUUAGAGAUCAUACAGAACACCGAUUGCGAAGGCAGCUUACCAAGCUACUUCUGACGUUGAGGCACGAAAGCGUGGGUAGCAAACAGGAUUAGAUACCCGUGUAGUC
rnacentral:rRNA from 1 species